UACGGAGGGUGCAAGCGUUAUCCGGAUUCACUGGGUUUAAAGGGUGCGUAGGUGGGCUGGUAAGUCAGUGGUGAAAUCUCCAGGCUUAACUUGGAAACUGCCAUUGAUACUAUCAGUCUUGAAUACCGUGGAGGUCAGCGGAAUAUGUCAUGUAGCGGUGAAAUGCUUAGAUAUGACAUAGAACACCAAUUGCGAAGGCAGCUGGCUACACGAAUAUUGACACUGAUGCACGAAAGCGUGGGAUCAACAGG
rnacentral:rRNA from 1 species